UAAUAGAUAGUUAUAUAUUAUAUAUAUAUAUAUAUAUGCAACUCUGUCGGUUCAUACGAAUGUGAUGGAGCUUCUAGUUGGGGUCUUUCUUCAGACCUCUAAGCUUGGACUAUCCAUAAUCUCAUUCAUGUCAGAAAAUCUGUAAGUUUAUUCAAAUGUAUAUUUUUUUUCUUCUUUUUUUAUGUGUCGGAUUUAUUGUUCUUGUUUUUUUUUUGUCAUUUGGUUCUAGCUCUGUGUUAUUAUGACUGUAUCUUCCCUAAGAAAGGUCUGUAGAUUGUAUUUUGUUUGGGCACUCAGCCCUACUCGAGCAAAUUGUGAUUAUUUGGUAUGAGAUUGGAACAUUUAUUUUGAUCAUUUUCGUCUGUCUGUGUCAUUGUAUUUCUGUGUGUUUUCUCUUUAAUGUGUAUAUAUAUAUGCAUAUAUAGGAUGAUGGUCCUACCUUUUUGCGGGUAACAAUGGUAAGUCAAUUUAAUUAUAAUUGAAGUUUAUUUCUCUUCCUGUAAUGAUGAGCCACAAUUACAAGUGUAUAUAAUCUGAUUAACUAUGACCUUUAUGAUUAUUCUUUUUUGUUAAUUUGUACAAAAUUACAAUUAUUUCUAACUUAUUUUUAUAUGAAUUGCAUUCAUAUUAGUAUAAUGUUAGAUUGUAUAGGAGUUUUGUUUGUCUUCUAAUGCUUAAGUACUCUUUUCAUUGUUAUGCGAUUCCAAAUUACAACAAGCACCUAAGGUUUUCUCAUAAUCUUUCCGAGACAAAAAAAUAACGCAAAGAUGGUUGUAUCCUUUGGCUAAAAAUAAAAAUAAUGAGAAGAUUCAUUUGGUUUCAUGUCAUAUAUUAUUCUCAGUUUUUUAUUUCUUAUGCAUUCAAAGUGUUUGAAAAAAUACCUAAUAGAAUGACAUGAAAAGAAUAAUUAUUUUUUAAAAAAAGUUGAUUAAUACUUGUUUUCUUUAAUUGAUAGAAUACUUGUCCUCUAAAUAAUACACAGUGGAACAUUCUUUUUUAGUGAUAUGGAAUUUCUGAUGGAUUAGUGAUGUGUUCUUGAAACUCAUGUAAUGUUUCUUUAACUUAAUAGUUAUACCUCAUCUUUGAUUUCAUAUAUAAAGUAUGUCCAUUAUUAAUUUUGAGGCCCUAAGCUUCUCUGUAAUACAUUGUUGAUGUUUGUGUGGGUGGGCAAUAUAGGCUUUGUGAAGCUUGCAAGCACUGAGAUUUUCAUUGUGUUAGUAACAUUAAGUUAUUUGCACAUUUUUUAGUUAUGUUUUUUUUUGUUAUGCGUAUUAAAUCAAUUAAGACUAGACAUAGUAUGCCUCUAUGGCAUGAUGAAAUCUUAUUGAAUGCUAAUGAUAUUAAAGCAAUUUAUGACCUCCAUCCCUGCUCACAACUUUUUGUUAGCCUUACUUAUAUUAGUAUUUUUAAAUAUUCUACUAUAUACUUAUCACAUUUUAUGUUCAUUUCUUUCCACAACAUUUUACAGGAUGGCAAUAGGGGUCCAUGAGUGCUGGGUAAGUUUUAUUUCCUUCUUUUCUAUGGGUUAGCUUCUCUCUAUUUUCUUCUUUUCAAGAACUUUAACACUAGAUUUUUAGUUAAUUGAUUGAAACUUGGUGACUGCAACAGUGGGCUGGGCAUCUCUGGGUUUUCUUUUUCUUUUUUUAAUUUGUUUGCUUAUAUAAAUAUAUAUGCUAUAUAUAUUUUAUAAUUUGUAAUAUUAUAAUUUCAGAUGGUCAUGGAUCCUUCUAGAGAUCUCAUCCUGGCUUACAUGCAGAAUGGUAGUGGAUGACCACGGUUUUCCCGUGAGGAUGAUUAUAUCGGGCUUUAUUGGGGGCUGCAUGGUAAAAUGGCUCAAGAGAAUUAUUGUUACUACCCCAGAAUCUGACAACCUCUACCAUUUCAAGGAUAACAGAGUUCUUCCUUCUCACGUUGAUGUUGAGAUCGCUAACGCAGAAUCAUGAUGGUACAAGUUAGAACAUAUAAUAAACGAGUUGAACAUAAACUCGGUGAUAACAAUGUCGUGCCACGAGGAGAUCUUGCCCAUUAACUCGUGGAGCACUCAGAGACCUUACACGUUAAAGGGAUAUUCGUAUUCGGGUUUGUUGAUUGACGAAGAGGGAGUACGAAUGGAGAAGACGAAGGAGAGAGUGAAAAGAAAAAAAUGUUUCUUUGGAAAUCUUGGCUCGGGGUUGUAGUUUAAGGUUCAUUUUAUAGUGGCAUUCUGAUUUUAAUUAUUUGUUUUAUUUGACAGUGCAAUAUUCUCACAUGUAAGGGGUAGAAGUUUUAGUCUACUUGAUUAGUUGUUGGAAGAUGUUGAAGUUUUACCCUUUACUUGUAGUUGCUAAGACAAUCCUGCUUCAUAAUCAACCUGUUUAGUUUAUAAUUUGUUUAUGGUAUGUAUGAAAUAUGUGUCUUCAUGCUGUUGUUUGUCUAUUACUGUGAUACUAUAAUAUUAAUAUCGUUCAUGUUCUUGCUAA